AAACCAACCGGGAUUGCCUUAGUAACGGCGAGUGAAGCGGCAAAAGCUCAAAUUUGAAAUCUAGUACCUUCGGUGCUCGAGUUGUAAUUUGUAGAAGGCAACUUUGGGGCUGGUCCUUGUCUAUGUUCCUUGGAACAGGACGUCAUAGAGGGUGAUAAUCCCGUGUGGCGAGGAAUUCAGUCCUUUGUAAAGUGCUUUCGAAGAGUCGAGUUGUUUGGGAAUGCAGCUCAAAGUGGGUGGUAAAUUCCAUCUAAAGCUAAAUAUUGGCGAGAGACCGAUAGCGAACAAGUACAGUGAUGGAAAGAUGAAAAGAACUUUGAAAAGAGAGUGAAAAAGUACGUGAAAUUGUUGAAAGGGAAGGGCAUUUGAUCAGACAUGGUGUUUUGCGCCCCUUACCUCUCGUGGGUUUGGGAAUCUCGCAGCUCACUGGGCCAACAUCAGUUUUGGUGGCAGGAUAAAUCUAUAGGAACGUAGCUUACUUCGGUAAGUAUUAUAGCCUGUGGGAAUACUGCCAACCGGGACUGAGGACUGCGAUUUAUAUCAAGGAUGUUGGCAUAAUGGUUAUAUGCCGC
rnacentral:rRNA from 2 species